AACCAUAGAAACCUGCGGAGUACCUGCGGAAGGAUCAUUACACAAAUUAAAAUAUGAAGGCUUCGGCUGGAUUAUUUUUAUCACCCUUGUCUUUUGCGCACUUGUUGUUUCCUGGGCGGGUUCGCCCGCCACCAGGACCACACCAUAAACCUUUUUUUAUGCAGUUGCAAUCAGCGUCAGUAUAACAAAUGUAAAUCAUUUACAACUUUCAGCAAUGGAUCUCAGAUCGGAAGAGCACAC
rnacentral:misc_RNA from 1 species